rnacentral:rRNA from 1 species
AUUGAACGCUGGCGGCAUGCCUUACACAUGCAAGUCGAACGGUAACAGGUCUUCGGAUGCUGACGAGUGGCGAACGGGUGAGUAAUACAUCGGAACGUGUCUAGUAGUGGGGGAUAACUACUCGAAAGAGUGGCUAAUACCGCAUGAGAUCUAAGGAUGAAAGCAGGGGAUCGCAAGACCUUGUGCUACUAGAGCGGCCGAUGGCAGAUUAGGUAGUUGGUGGGAUAAAAGCUUACCAAGCCGACGAUCUGUAGCUGGUCUGAGAGGACGAUCAGCCACACUGGGACUGAGACACGGCCCAGACUCCUACGGGAGGCAGCAGUGGGGAAUUUUGGACAAUGGGCGCAAGCCUGAUCCAGCAAUGCCGCGUGCAGGAUGAAGGCCUUCGGGUUGUAAACUGCUUUUGUACGGAACGAAAAGCCCCGGGUUAAUACCCUGGGGUCAUGACGGUACCGUAAGAAUAAGCACCGGCUAACUACGUGCCAGCCGCCGCGGUAA